CGGCUCGUGGCGAAACAAGCAGAUGCGCCAGGUUGAGAGCCUGGUGCCCCCAACGGGGCGUGCGGGUGCAACUCCCGCCGAGCCGA
rnacentral:tRNA from 1 species